rnacentral:rRNA from 1 species
GGACGACCAGCCACACUGGGACUGAGACACGGCCCAGACUCCUACGGGAGGCAGCAGUGGGGAAUUUUGGACAAUGGGCGCAAGCCUGAUCCAGCAAUGCCGCGUGCAGGAAGAAGGCCUUCGGGUUGUAAACUGCUUUUGUCAGGGAAGAAAUCUUCUGGGCUAAUACCCCGGGAGGAUGACGGUACCUGAAGAAUAAGCACCGGCUAACUACGUGCCAGCAGCCGCGGUAAUACGUAGGGUGCGAGCGUUAAUCGGAAUUACUGGGCGUAAAGCGUGCGCAGGCGGCUUUGCAAGACAGAUGUGAAAUCCCCGGGCUCAACCUGGGGAACU